UCCGAGUUGACCCCGGCAGUCUCCUAUGAGUCCCCACCAUCACGUGCUGGCAACAUAGAACGAGGGUUGCGCUCGUUGCGGGACUUAACCCAACAUCUCACGACACGAGCUGACGACAACCAUGCACCACCUGUGCACGGCCCUUACGGACCUCCCAUCUCUGGAAGAUUUCCGUGCAUGUCAAGCCUAGGUAAGGUGGGGAUGACGUGGGGAAUGUCGAUA
rnacentral:misc_RNA from 1 species